CGAGUCAGAGCGUGCACUUAUCCUUCAGAGUGAGCAAGUCUCUCUCAGAUUGUGCCCUUAUCCUUCAGAGCGAACGAGCGAGUGACCUUUUCAGCGAAUUCAGAGUUCAAAUCGUGCGUGUUGCUCUCUCUCUCUCUCUCUCUCUCUCUCUCUCUCUCUCUCUAAUCUGGAAACUUCUCAGCUGCUCAAGACCUCUAAGGCCUUCAUUCAGAACUUGGCAUUGUUUCUCACUUCAUUUUACAAGGCA